GUGAUGACACAGACCUGCAGAUCUUCUGUGUUUCCUGUGGGCACCCCAUCAACCCACGUGUUGCCUUGCGCCACAUGGAGCGCUGCUACGCCAAGGUUGGGGUGUCAGACUGAGGGGGCGGACCAUGUGGGAACAUCAGUGGGCCAGUGGGGGACAGAUUUGUUGUCUGGGUGGUGUCUUGGGAGGGCAUGCAGCGCACAUCCACAGUUCCCUCCAUUUGUGCUCAUCCCUCCAGUAUGAGAGCCAGACGUCCUUUGGGUCCAUGUACCCCACACGCAUUGAAGGGGCCACACGACUCUUCUGUGAUGUGUAUAAUCCUCAGAGCAAAACAUACUGUAAGCGGCUCCAGGUGCUGUGCCCCGAGCACUCACGGGACCCCAAAGUAAGGUUUUCCCUCAGCUCCUCCCAUUUUGCCCCUCCUCCCUGCCUCGCUGUCCCACAUUCAUCCCUUCCUUCCUCACCUCACUUUUCCUUCACUUUUUCCUCUCAGCUUCCCUGCUGCUUCACCCUCCAUUCCUCCUUUUCCAUGCCUCCUCACCGU
rnacentral:lncRNA from 1 species